AGUGAACGCUGGCGGUAGGCCUAACACAUGCAAGUCGAACGGCAGCACAGUAAGAGCUUGCUCUUACGGGUGGCGAGUGGCGGACGGGUGAGGAAUACAUCGGAAUCUACUUUUUCGUGGGGGAUAACGUAGGGAAACUUACGCUAAUACCGCAUACGACCUACGGGUGAAAGCAGGGGAUCUUCGGACCUUGCGCGAUUGAAUGAGCCGAUGUCGGAUUAGCUAGUUGGCGGGGUAAAGGCCCACCAAGGCGACGAUCCGUAGCUGGUCUGAGAGGAUGAUCAGCCAAACUGGAACUGAGACACGGUCCAGACUCCUACGGGAGGAAGCAGGGGGGAAUAUUGGACAAUGGGCGCAAGCCUGAUCCAGCCAUACCGCGUGGGUGAAGAAGGCCUUCGGGUUGUAAAGCCCUUUUGUUGGGAAAGAAAAGCAGCAGGUUAAUACCCCGCUGUUCUGACGGUACCCAAAGAAUAAGCACCGGCUAACUUCGUG
rnacentral:rRNA from 1 species